GUGCCUUAUCCUCUAUCAUGGAGCAAAUUGUCCUUCGGACCUCUUUCAUUAAGAUUGAACUUGUCAAAACAUCAUUCUUUUGGGUCGAGACCCUGCAAGUCGGAGAAAGAAUAGUAUAAGGCUCACCUCCACUCAGCUGAUCAGUCCAUCGCUCUUUGGAAGCAGUGGAGAAUCUCCUAUUGAAUCUUCUCAUCCUCAAUCUAGGCGCCCGUCUCAUCGUGCAACACAUGGAUCUAGUUUCUUUGUCACCUGAUGACGGUCAAUUGGUGGAAGAACCUUGUAUUCCUAUCUCCUUCCCCAAUUCACUAGAUUCUAGACUUCUGCCUCCAAAGGGUCUCUUACUGGUGCAAUAGAGAGUGAUGCAAGAUCAACUUGCUUUGGAGCUAUGCCAAGUCUUCCUCAGCUAGUCCUCCCUCCUGAUCCUCUCUCCACUAGAGCUUGGAGAUGGCAGCCUUAGUAUCCUUCAACCUCCUGAAAAUAUCACCAACCUCCACUCGAUUCUACUUCUGGAGUCUAUGCCUAAUCAGCUCGAGUCUGUGGGUGACCUAAUACAUCGCAUUUCUCCGAACAAACAUCUUGCAAACCUCCCUCACAACAUCCCAAGAAUGCGGGUAAGAGAGACAAAAUUUCUCAAAUCAGAACGAACUCUGGUAAGAGAGCCCAUUGUCUAUACAAUAAGCAUC
rnacentral:lncRNA from 1 species